CAAACAAGAGCUUGUCAAAUUAGCCAAGGAGACUGCCUGAGAACCUGCAUCAAGGGUUAAAUUUGUAUAAACAUUGUUGCAAGCCACAACCCAAAAUGCUAGGAAAUCAGGCAAGUCAUCCUUGGCUAUCAAACAAGACUCUUAUCU
rnacentral:pre_miRNA from 1 species